ACGUGAUCUGAGUUCAGACCGGAGUAAUCCAGGUCAGUUUCUAUCUAUAAGGAGCUUUUUUUAGUACGAAAGGACCAAAAAAGCAUGGCCCAUGUUUUCGACAAGCCAUCUCUACUAACUCAUGUCUUAAACUUAACCCGUAUUUAGUCCCUCUCUCUGUUCAAGAAAAGAACAGUUAACGUAGCAAAACCUGGUACUGCAAAAGAUCUAAGCCCUUUCUAUAGAGAUUCAAAUCCUCUCGUUAACU
rnacentral:rRNA from 1 species